GGAUGCGAUCAUACCAGCACUAAAGCACCGGAUCCCAUCAGAACUCCGAAGUUAAGUGUGCUUGGGGUAGAGUAGUAAUAGGAUGGGUGACCUCCUGGGAAGUCCUCGUGUUGCAUUCC
rfam:Triticum aestivum genome assembly, contig: Triticum_aestivum_CS42_TGACv1_scaffold_458287_5DS